UACGUAGGGGCCAAGCGUUGUCCGGAUUUAUUGGGCGUAAAGAGCUCGUAGGCGGUUGGGUAAGUCGGGUGUGAAAACUCCAGGCUCAACUUGGAGAUGCCACCCGAUACUGCUCUGACUUGAGUUCGGUAGGGGAGUGGGGAAUUCCUGGUGUAGCGGUGAAAUGCGCAGAUAUCAGGAGGAACACCAAUUGCGAAGGCAGCUCGCUGGGACGUUACUGACGCUGAGACGCGAAAGCGUGGGGAGCAAACAGG
rnacentral:rRNA from 1 species